AUUGAACGCUGGCGGCAGGCCUAACACAUGCAAGUCGAACGAGUGGCGGACGGGUGAGUAAUGUAUGGGGAACUGCCCGAUGGAGGGGGAUAACUACUGGAAACGGUGGCUAAUACCGCAUACCAUCGGAUGUGCCCAUAUGGGAUUAGCUAGUAGGUGGGGUAAAGGCUCACCUAGGCGACGAUCUCUAGCUGGUCUGAGAGGAUGACCAGCCACACUGGAACUGAGACACGGUCCAGACUCCUACGGGAGGCAGCAGUGGGGAAUAUUGCACAAUGGGCGCAAGCCUGAUGCAGCCAGGCCGCGUGUAUGAAGAAGGCCUUCGGGUUGUAAAGUACUUUCAGCGGGGAGGCGUUACCCGCAGAAGAAGCACCGGCUAACUCCGUGCCAGCAGCCGCGGUAAUAC
rnacentral:rRNA from 1 species